rnacentral:rRNA from 1 species
ACGGGAGGCAGCAGUGGGGAAUAUUGGACAAUGGGGGAAACCCUGAUCCAGCGACGCCGCGUGAGUGAAGAAGUAUUUCGGUAUGUAAAGCUCUAUCAGCAAGGAAGAAAAUGACGGUACUUGACUAAGAAGCUCCGGCUAAAUACGUGCCAGCAGCCGCGGUAAUACGUAUGGAGCAAGCGUUAUCCGGAUUUACUGGGUGUAAAGGGAGCGUAGGCGGCGUUGCAAGUCAGAUGUGAAUCCCCGGGGCUUAACUCCGGGACUGCAUUUGAAACUGUGAUGCUAGAGUGCGGGAGAGGUAAGCGGAAUUCCUAGUGUAGCGGUGAAAUGCGUAGAUAUUAGGAAGAACACCAGUGGCGAAGGCGGCUUACUGGACCGUAACUGACGCUGAGGCUCGAAAGCGUGGGGAGCAAACAGGAUUAGAUACCCUGGUA